GCGGGAGUAGUCUAGUGGUUAUGAUGUCUGCUUUACAUUCUAAACAAAUGUAUUGCGCAGAAGGUCGAGGGUUCAAUUCCCUCCUUCCGUA
rnacentral:tRNA from 1 species